GGCUAUGAAGCUCAGUGGUAGAGUGCUUGCCUAACAUGCAUGAAACCCUGGGUUCCAUCCCCAGCACUGCAG
rnacentral:tRNA from 1 species